GAUGAAGAACGCAGUGAAAUGCGAUAAGUAAUGUGAAUUGCAGAAUUCAGUGAAUCAUCGAAUCUUUGAACGCACCUUGCGCUCCUUGGUAUUCCGAGGAGCAUGCCUGUUUGAGUGUCAUGAAAUUCUCAACCUUUUCAGCUUUCUUUGUUGAUCAGGCUUGGAUGUGGGAGUAUGCGGGCUUCUCAGAAGUCGGCUCUCCUGAAAUGCAUUAGCGGGACCUUUGUUGCCUGGCUUUGGUGUGAUAAUUAUCUACGCCAUUGUAGUCAAGCAGCUUAAAAUGAGGUUUCAGCUUCUAACCGUCUCCCCUGAGACAACUUUUUGACAAUUUGACCUCAAAUCAGGUAGGACUACCCGCUGAACUUAAGCAUAUCAAUAAGCGGAGGA
rnacentral:misc_RNA from 1 species